GACGUAGGGCGCGAGCGUUGUCCGGAUUUAUUGGGCGUAAAGAGCUCGUAGGCGGCUUGUCGCGUCGUCUGUGAAAACCCGCGGCUCAACGGCGGGCUUGCAGUCGAUACGGGCAGGCUGGAGUUCGGUAGGGGAGACUGGAAUUCCUGGUGUAGCGGUGAAAUGCGCAGAUAUCAGGAGGAACACCGGUGGCGAAAGCAGCUCUCUGGGACGGUACUGACGCUGAGACGCGAAAGCGUGGGGAGCGAACAGG
rnacentral:rRNA from 1 species